GCGGAAGUAGCUCAGUGGUAGAGCCUCGCCUUGCCAAGGCGAGGGUCGCGAGUUCGAAUCUCGUUUUCCGCUCCA
rnacentral:tRNA from 1 species